GGCUUUAUAGUCAAAAAUGAUAUUAGACUGCAAAUCUAAAGGAGUAUAAUUUACUAAAGCUU
rnacentral:tRNA from 1 species